UACGGAGGAUGCAAGCGUUAUCCGGAAUGAUUGGGCGUAAAGCGUCCGCAGGUGGCUGUGUAAGUCUGCUGUUAAAGAGUGAGGCUCAACCUCAUAAAGGCAGUGGAAACUGAACAGCUAGAGUAUGGUAGGGGCAGAGGGAAUUCCUGGUGUAGCGGUGAAAUGCGUAGAGAUCAGGAAGAACAUCGGUGGCGAAGGCGCUCUGCUGGACCAUAACUGACACUCAGGGACGAAAGCUAGGGGAGCGAAUGGG
rnacentral:rRNA from 1 species